rnacentral:ncRNA from 1 species
AAAUAAUUAUAUAUUAAUUAUAAUAUUAAGUUUUAAAUUUUAAUUCAUAUAAAUUGUUUAUUUAUGUAAAUAAUUUAUAGUUUAAAUAUUAUAAAUGUAUAAAUAAUUAUUUAGAAUUUAAUGUUUUUUUUUAUGUAUUUAUAAAUAAAAAAAUUUAUAAUGUUAAUGUUUAAUUUUGUGCCAGCAAUCGCGGUUAUACAAUUAUUAUUUUUAAUAUAUUUUAGUAUUGAUUAGUUAAUUAGAAUUUUUAAAUUAAAUUGUUGUUAUUAGGUGAAAUUAUUAAUAAUUUUAUAAUUAAAUGAUUAUAUUUUUAAUGUUUAAGUUAAUUUUAAGACUAGAAUUAGAUACUCUAUUAUUAAAAAUUAAAAUUUUAUUUUACUGAAAUAAUUAAAAAUUAUAAUAUUUAAAAUUUAAUGUAUAUGGCAGUAAUUAAAUCAAUUUAGAGGAACUUGUUUAUUAAUAGAUAAAACACUAUAGAUUUAACUUAAAUUGUCUUAAUUUAUGUAUUGUUAUAAUAAAAAUUUAAUUUAAAUUUUUAUUGAAAAUUUUAAUUUUUAUAUAUUUAAAUUUAUUUUAAAUCAAAAUAUAAUAGGUAAUUGAGAAUUAUUAUGAGUUACAAAAAAUUUAAAUUUUAUUUUUGUUUAGAUAUUAAAUUUUUAAAUUAAAUUGGAUUUAAUAGUAAUUAAUAAUUUAUUAUUAUUAAUGAUUUUAGUUUUUUAUUAUGUACAUAUUGCCCGUCAAUCUAAUAUUUAUUAGGUAAGUCGUAACAAAGUAGAGGUACUGGAAAGUGUUUCUUGAA